rnacentral:lncRNA from 1 species
GUGCACCAUCUGCGGUCCUGUAGGGUGGGAUCUCAACGCGCCUGCCUGGGGGAUAGAUUUCUAACUGUGGCAUUGUCAGGAGACCCCGGGGAAGGGAGCAAGCAAGCCAGGACAUCCUGGGGCCUGGCUCCUCAGCCCAGGACUCCAGGGGCUCUGAGGUCCUUUGUCCUGAAGCUUGCCUUUGCUGUUCUCCCCCAGAGAUGGGAAGCGCUGUGUGGGCAGGGCCGGGUCCCCCUGGACCUGUGGGCAUGGAACAAGUGCAUGGAGGAGAUGCUGUCACCCAGGCCAGCCCAACACUGGGUUUCGGUUCUUUAGAAUCCUCAGGGCCAGGAGACAAACUGGCCCUGAGUCUGGAUCCUGCAGCUGAGCCCACAUCACAGAGAGCCCCCUCCAGCUGCUAGCCAGGCACUGGGGAAGUGGGGGACCUCGCUGUGAGUUGGAUUGUGAUCUCAUGUGACAGUGCUGCUGGGGACAGGGCGGUCCCUGCCCUUCCCGCUUCCAGCUGCACAAAUGGUGUGCCCUCCCCACUGAGCUGGGCACGCUGUGGGCAGGGGUGUGGACUGAGCACACCCCACCCACCCUCUCAGCCCCGGGGGAGGAGCUGUGGCUCAGGGAUCAGAGGGAGGGUCUGGUCCAGCCCUGGGUGUGAGCUGGGGCCCGUGUCGGACUGUCCUCGGUUGUCAGGACUCCCAGUGUGUGCCAGGGCCUGGGAAGGCUGGGAUCCAGUGGGUGACAGUCUAGGUUGGGGGGUGCAGCGGGGGGCUCAGGAGUCUCUCAGACCCAACCAUCCCCACUCCCUUCAAUCUCCUCUCCACCGGGACGGCCCCGCCCACAGAGCCCAAAGGCUGGCAGAAGGGGACACAGAGGCAGAGUCCCCAACACUUGGGAAAGGCAGGGUGGGAGGCGCCACCUCCCACUUCCGGUCCUCACCUCAAGGCCCCACCUCCAUUGCCCCCUGCCGAGCAAGAGGGGGUGGAGGGGCCUGCCAGGGUGGAGGUGGGGUGGGGCAGCUGCUGCACAGUGGGCUCUCAUAUGGGGGCGCUGCAGCUGGGGGAAGCAAGUCCCUUGGCCAUGAACUCAGGAGGUUCUGUCCCACUUCUCUCUCUCAGUGGGUGGUGGCCCCCAGCUUUCUGGGUUCCAGGUCUCAGUUUCCCUAUCUGAGAAUGGGGGAGCUGUUAAGUGCCUGUAAGGCGGCGUGGCCCCCCCUGGCCAGGACAAAGCAGGCUCCCCUUUUAUUCCUGAGGGAGCCCAUCCCCCCAGCAGCCUGCUGGGGCCCUCCC